rnacentral:lncRNA from 1 species
GUUCCUGCCCUGCCUGACUUCCUUUCCUUAUUUCCUGCAAUGAUGAACAGAUGUUUAAGCCAAAAUAAACCCUUUCCUCCCUCCCCAGUUUGCUUUUGGUCAUGGCAUUUCAUCACGGCUGUAGUAACCCCAGCUAAGGCAGAGAUUGGUACCAGGAGAGUGAGAGAUUGCUGUGAUGGAAUUGUCUACAUCUGGGAAAGUACUUUGGAACUUUAGGUUAGAAAAGUCUUUGAGUGUCGACAGCUCAGAGCGAUGCUCUGUGGGAGCUUGGGAGGUAAGAAUGCUGAGAGCAGUGCAAAAGACAGAGUCCUGGCUUGUAAGUUUCAGAAGGGAGCAAAGACUCUACUGGGCCUUUUGUGUGAAUCUGUCUGACCAGCUGGGGCUGAAGAGGCCGUGAUUAAAAAGAGGCCGGUACCGUUGAAGUGAAGUCUUCGAGUUACUGGAACAAUUGAUGCUGAUCAGCUGGAGCUGAGACCUCAGUGCUGAUUAAGAAGAGACCAGAAUCACUGAGGUGAAAUUUUCUGGGAAGGGUUUGCUCAAGGUCAGCACACAGAAGCUGUGUUCCAGAGGCGGCUAUGGUUGUAGCUUGUGUUUGGCAGGCUCAGCGUGGUAGUGUAAGCAUCACCCAGGUGGUACUGGUUUUGAAGGCGAGAAGGGAUCAUGCAGAGCAGCCGAGGCUUGGCACUGUGAGAGGCCAGGAGAGGCCAUGGGUGUUGGUGCAGCCUCAGUGGCAGUUGAAGGCUCAGGAUUGAAGGGGUCAUGGAGAGCAGCUGAGGCUUGGCACCAUGAAGAGAGCCCAGGGGAGGCUGUUGACUGAAGUGCAGCCCAGUGGCAGCAGAGAUCUCUGGUAUCAAGAUGCUCUUCUUGGAAUGACCACGAACAACAGCAGCAGUAGUGGAGUGGAAUCAGCCUGAGCUUAGACGACAAGCUGUGUGCUGCAGAGCGCAGAGUCGGAAAGCGACCCCAGCCUUUGGAGGAGCCUCGGAGGUGAGUAGAUCCCAGACAUUGGCCACUGAGUCAUUUACAGUUAGAUUUGGUUUGGCUUUGAUCUCAUUGUGACUGCCCUGAUUCUUACCUCUCAAAGUAAAGUAAUUUUUAUUUUAUAGGAGUCCACAGUUAAAAGAAUUUGAACUUUUAAAAGAGAUUUUUGGAUUUUUUUAAAGGAGACUAUGGUACUUUCAAAAUUUUUUAUAUUUUAAAUUGUGAUUGUUUUUUUGUUUUUUUGUUUGUUUUUUCGAGACAGGGUUUCUCUGUGUAGCCCUGGCUGUCCUGGAGCUCACUCUGUAGACCAGGCUGGCUUCGCAUCUCGGCUCAUUCUUCUGUAACAAGGGAACAUUUUCUUAACAGAUUUGAAGACUCCUUCCAUGAGAAUUUCCUGUGCGA